CUCGCUGCUCGAGCGCCCUAGCAAGAAGCCCUUCCCGGAUUUGGGAGUUAGGAGGACGGGAUCUCGUGCUCGAUUGCGGCUCAAUCACUUUGCCUCUGUUCGAAGCCCCGGCCUCAACCUGGUGGGAUAUUAUUCAAGCGAGUGUGGAAAUGUUGAGUGGCUCGCAAGUUCACUCUGGUGGUUGAUCGUGAGAUCCACACAACCCAUUUUUUCUCUUCCACAGAGCAAGGUCUGUUGAAACUUAAUCACCCUUCUUUCUUGCUCUUUUGCUGGCCCAGAAAGAAGUAGUAAUAACGCAUGGAUUGUGAUCCACAGAUGUUCCGAAACCUGGGCUGCUGUUAGCCGCAACUCAACCGUCUUCAAGAUCGAAUAGCUCCGAAACAUUCGACUAGUGGACACAAUUUACACAUACUCCCGUUGCCCGGAUCGUUUUUCAGUUUGACCAUGAUGGCCACAUUUCAUGGUACUAUUUGGCCAUUACGAAUUAAAAGGAUUGAUAUCGAUUCUCGACCUAUGAUCUUGGUUUCUUUCCCUGGGUACUGAUUGAAAGAAAUGGCAUAGCACUUGGGCGGUAAAACUAAACCAUUUUGCAAAAUAAAUAUUAGAUACAAUAAGGCAUAUACUUAACUAGUAGCGGGCCUGAGCUUACCCUGGCGUGCGUGGGGAAACUCAAAUCUGAAUAGAGGCAAU
rnacentral:lncRNA from 1 species